rnacentral:rRNA from 1 species
UGGGGAAUAUUGGACAAUGGGCGGAAGCCUGAUCCAGCAAUACCGCGUGUGUGAAGAAGGCCUGAGGGUUGUAAAGCACUUUCAAUUGGGAGGAAUACCUGGGGGCUAAUACCCUCCAGAUUGACAUUACCUUUAGAAGAAGCACCGGCUAACUCCGUGCCAGCAGCCGCGGUAAUACGGAGGGUGCGAGCGUUAAUCGGAAUUACUGGGCGUAAAGCGUGCGUAGGCGGCUCGUUAAGUCAGAUGUGAAAGCCCUGGGCUUAACCUGGGAACUGCAUUUGAUACUGGCGAGCUAGAGUCUAAGAGAGGGGAGUGGAAUUUCAGGUGUAGCGGUGAAAUGCGUAGAGAUCUGAAGGAACACCAGUGGCGAAGGCGACUCCCUGGCUUAAGACUGACGCUG